UAGGGAAUCUUCCACAAUGGACGAAAGUCUGAUGGAGCAACGCCGCGCGAGUGAUGAAGGGUUUCGGCUCGUAAAACUCUGUUGUUGGAGAAGAACAGGUGAUAGAGUAACUGUUAUCAUCUUGACGGUAUCCAACCAGAAAGCCACGGCUAACUACGUGCCAGCAGCCGCGGUAAUACGUAGGUGGCAAGCGUUGUCCGGAUUUAUUGGGCGUAAAGCGAGCGCAGGCGGUUUUUUAGGUCUGAUGUGAAAGCCUUCGGCUUAACCGGAGAAGGGCAUCGGAAACCGGGAGACUUGAGUGCAGAAGAGGACAGUGGAACUCCAUGUGUAGCGGUGAAAUGCGUAGAUAUAUGGGAAGAACACCAGUGGCGAAGGCGGCUGUCUGGUCUGUAACUGACGCUGAGGCUCGAAAGCAUGGGUAGCGAACAGGAUUAGAUACCCCUUGG
rnacentral:rRNA from 1 species